AAAUAGCUGAGUUUGGUGAUGGCUCUGAUUGAAUGCUGUCCAAGUGCUUGACACAUGCUAAUCGUACGUUUUAAUUUCUAUACUAUUAUUAUAACGUAGCGCAAGCUACGUUAAAGUUAAGGUUACAAAUUAAAAAGUGGUGUACAGGUGAGUAUAAUGAUAUUCUUUGCCGACCUUAAAGUAUAGGUAAAUCCUACAUAAUAAUAAAGGGAAACAAAUUCCCGCUUUGAGAGGAUAAUAAAUAUCUUCGAGAUAGGUAGUAGUUAAGGUGAUGGCUUAACUAGCCUAAAACUCUCGUAGUCGAAUCUGAAAGGUUGAUCGACCACAUUGGGUCUGAAAAAAUCCCAAUGCAAGUUAGUACAGCAGUGAGGAAUCUUGGUCAAUGGCCUAACGGCUGAACUGGCAACUUGGAAAAGUGGCAAGUCCUACUUUGAUUAUAUCAUAGAAUAUAAUCUAUAGGAUUGUAUUAAAAUUGAAUAAAGCUUUGUUUAUAUAUUGAUAAUGACAGUAUAUAUAUCGUGUCUUGACUAAUUACGUGCCAGCAGUCGCGGUAAUACGUAAGAGACUAGUGUUAUUCAUCUUAAUUAGGUUUAAAGGGUACCUAGACGGUCAAUAUAGCUUCUAGAAUGUUAGUACUUGACUAGAGUUUUAUGUAAGAGGGUAGUACUUGAGGAGGAGAGAUGAAAUUCUAUGAUACCAAAGGGACUCGGUAAAGGCGAAGGCAACCCUCUAUGUAAAAACUGACGUUGAAGGACGAAGGCACAGAGAACAAACAGGAUUAGAUACCCAAGUAGUCUUUGCAGUAAAUGAUGAAUGCCAUAGGUCAGAUUAAGAUUUAAUAACUUAGUUCUUCAGUAAGGAACUAAAUAUUAAACAUUAUUUGGUCUAUAAAUGAAAGUGUAAGCAUUUCACCUCAAGAGUAAUGUGGCAACGCAGGAACUGAAAUCACUAGACCGUUUCUGACACCAGUAGUGAAGUAUGUUGUUUAAUUCGAUGAUCCACGAAAAACCUUACCACAAUUUGUAUAAUUAUUACAGGAGUUGCACGGCUGUUUUCAGUUAAUGUUGUGAAACUGUGGUUUCCAUGAAAUUAACGCAAUCCCUGGCUUUAUUUUUUAAAUAUUUACGAUAAAGCAUUUGAUCCUGGAAUUUGGAAAGAAAAAGGGGACAAAGACAAGUCAUCAUGGCCUUGAUAUUGUGGGCUAUAGACGUGCCACAUAUUCCUAAACAAAGAGAUGCAAAAAUGUGAAUUUAAGCUAAUCUCAAAAAAUAGGAUAUAAGUUUUAAGGAUUGUAGUCUGAAACUCGACUAUAUGAAUAAGUAAUUACUAGUAAUCGUGAAUCACCAUGUCACGGUGAAUUAACCUUGGAUUGGUACUAACCACUCGUCACAUGCUGAAAAGAGCAUGCGCAAUAAGUUUGCUUUCUUAAUGAUUAGUAAAAAAAACAUGCAGGUUUUGUACAUUCUAUUAUUAGGAAUCUUCGUAUGCGUGGCUCUAAUUAGUGUUAAGUCGAAAUACGGUUCGUGUAGUGGAAGUUGCACGGGAUUAAUUAAUAUU
rnacentral:rRNA from 1 species